CACUUACGCGGAGCGGUAAUGUGAGGAAGCCUCCCGCCAAACAGUAGAGGGAGGAGGAGGAGGGGAGAGGCCAGAGAGAGAAGCGGCUUUCGGGAAGGAAAGUGUGAUCUAGGAGGUGGAAUAGUGCUCUCCAAACUUUGACCUGAGGUGUGACUAUUGAAUGACCCUCUAUUUGGAUUUGGAUUACACAAAGUUUAACGUUUUUUGGAAAAAUCCUACCUAGGUAAUGUGUCGUUCUCAAUGCAACAUGUCAGGCAGCUUAUGAUGCCAAUUUGUCCCAUGGCCUUAAAUUCCACAACCUCAUCAUCUACCACCUUUGGUGCUUUCAGAAUCAUGACUCUCAAUGUUGAAGAGUGGGCUACUGCAUGGAAGGUGCUGAUCCUUUUAGAGGCAGCCGUGGAAGAGGAAAAGAGAUCAGAAGAGAAAAGGAUAUUGGUUUGCUGGAACAUGUGGGACAAGAAGUUCCCAGAAGAAUUUGUGAGCAACUUCCCGACAGUAAGGCCCUGGCUAGACCUCAGGAUGGUCCCUGCCUCCUGGACAUUAGGAAGCCCAAAGGCCAGAACAAAAACACAUGCCUAGUGGGGGAAGGCUCACUAACAGGGC
rnacentral:antisense_RNA from 1 species